CCUGGUAGUCCACGCCCUAAACGAUGUCAACUAGUUGUUGGGGAUUCAUUUCCUUAGUAACGUAGCUAACGCGUGAAGUUGACCGCCUGGGGAGUACGGUCGCAAGAUUAAAAACUCAAAGGAAUUGACGGGGACCCGCACAAGCGGUGGAUGAUGUGGAUUAAUUCGAUGCAACGCGAAAAAACCUUACCUACCUUGACAUGCCACUAACGAAGCAGAGAUGCAUUAGGUGCUCGAAAGAGAAAGUGGA
rnacentral:rRNA from 1 species